ACGGAGGGUGCAAGCGUUGUCCGGAUUUAUUGGGUUUAAAGGGUGCGUAGGCGGCUAAUUAAGUCAGCGGUGAAAGUUUUGGGCUUAACCCAGAAAUUGCCAUUGAUACUGGUUAGCUUGAGUAUUGGAGGGGUACAUGGAAUUGAUGGUGUAGCGGUGAAAUGCAUAGAUACCAUCAGGAACACCGAUAGCGAAGGCAUUGUACUGGCCAAUAACUGACGCUGAUGCACGAAAGCAUGGGUAGCGAACAGG
rnacentral:rRNA from 1 species